rnacentral:rRNA from 1 species
UACCCGCUGAGUUUAAGCAUAUCAAUAAGCGGAG